UGUAGGUGACUGAAUUUUCGGUUCGUUUCGGUAGCCAAAUGUGAUGUACAAAACGGAGCGAUUUCUCCUACACAAAGACGCUUUCAGGGAAAACUGCACAUUUGCUAUGUAACUGAGAGUCUCCUCAUUGAAAUCAUCCGAAGCUCUUCAAAGGUUAGAUCAACAACAGGAUCUGUGAUUAACGACAGAGGAACAUCCCCCAUCACCACAGAAGGGCCAACCUCCAACUCCAUCAGACCACUCUCAUCAGCAAAUGUUUCAACUGUCCAUCCAAAGCCACUGCCUUUUCUACUAGUAUAUUCCCAAAGUAGUACCCGAACAGUGCUGUAGUGGGCGGCGCCAAACGGUCUGUGGCGUGUGAGUGAGAAAGUGAGUUGUAUCUCAUAGUUGAAACCAAACUUUUCUCAGGGCAGGUCUGCCGGUUUUAACUAGCAGAAGUUAGUUUUCUUAGCAGGUUACGAUAAUUAACGCAGCAGGUUAGGAUAAUUAGGUCAAGGUAAAAUGCUAACAAUGUCCCCGAUGCGACUCGAAUCUAUGUACAACCAUGCCUGCCCUGAGAACAGACUUCAUUUCCAAAAUGCGAUGCUCCGGGCCAAACGGUCUGUGAGGGAAGACUCAAGAGGAAAUUAGCUUUCUGUUCUACUCGAGCUAUUUUAUUUUGCAUCUUCGUGGAAAAGUCGCCUAAAUACUUUUGAGCAGCUGCUAGAUUGUGUGGUUAGCUUGCUAGCAGCCAUUGUCCAGGGAGAUGGUCGUGGCAGUUUCCCGUUUUAGGCAUGGAGGGUCUUCAAGAUGCAAUUAAACACCAAUUGCCCCAGUUGGAGACCGAGAUGGGGAGAUCUUUGUCGGAGCAUCUGAGGGCAAAUUUUGGAGUGGAGAAUAUUAACAACCUUGAAUAUGUUCAGCCAGAGGACAUAAAAUACCAUUUGAUGCCAAUAUAGUGCCUGGAAUUGCUUCAGUCCUUCAACCAAAGAGAAUGGAUAGGAUGUGUAACAAUGGAUAGUACACUUGUCCUCCUCCAAGCAUCAGUGACCUCCAAUAACAGUGGCCUUUGCUUUUCACCAAGUUAUGACUAUGCGACCACUUCAAUACCCUCACUGGCAUCGUGAUUGACAGUCGCCUGACUCAAGCUCUCCUGAACAAGGGUAAGAGAAUUGUCAACUUUUUAAAAUGCCAAAAGAUCAAGUUGAGAAGAGGGAUCUAGUGCCUGCUGAAUGAAAUCAACGAUUACAUCAAAGGCAAUGACAAUCUAACAGCCACUGCUGUUAGUCUCUCUUCCUCUUGGCAGAUGUAAGGAAUAGUGUUUUUAUACUUAUAAAGAUUAUAUUAUAAUUGUGUUUAUACUGUACUAUUUUUACACAUGAUUUUAAUAUUUUUUUAAUAUGUUUUGUGAUUUUAGGUCACUGCAACUCGGGUUGAUGUCGAGGCGCAAAUUCCUUUGCCAGACACACCAAGGCUGAUCAUGCUUGGCAAUACAUUGAUUUAAGGAAAUACUCUAUUGGGUUCCUCAAAAUGGAUGGUGUCGAUCGAGGGGAGAGUGGUCUGUGUUAUGGACAGUGAGUCCAACUUUGUUGCUGCCCUCUGUGCUCUUCAGAACUUUCUAUGAAUUUAACAUAGAAUACCAGCAGUCAGCCUCUGCAACCUUGGAGCUGAUGCAGAGGAACCAAAUGCACAGCGAAAGCAGGAGUGAGCCGCAAAACCGGAAAGGUCGUUCAGAGGAAGCCAUUGCCAAUUGACCCACAUGUUAAGUACUUUCUCGCAGACCUGAAGGAGUUUGAGUGGAAAAACUCCAACAUGAAAUCCUGCCAUGCGGUUUGGGUCAGCAAAUGAUCUGCUUGCGCCAUCCUGGAGCCUGUGUUGGCUUGCAGUAGCGUGCUUCUCUGGCUCCAGUCAAGCCCUGCUCGCUCCCCUCUAUCAUCCUUCUCUCUCAGCCCCUUUCUCUCUCUCGAUCUCUCUCUCUCACACAGGCAAACAGUUCUUGUUUUAGUUUUUGUGACAAUGUCUCCCUUUUAAACUGUUUUCCUAUUUUUCAUUGAUCUGUUUAGAUUAUUCUUUUUUUAAUUUAUUUUUUAUACAUAAUCCUGUAUUUUCAAGAAUGACCUAUUCUGAUGUCUUGGUUUGUGUAUGGUGAAGUACAUUAUUGGCCAGUAUUUGUCAAUGUAUCUCUCUCUUUCUCUCCUCUACUAUCUGGAGUUGUAAUGUUGCUCUUUUCAAAUGUUGUUCUUUGUGGUUAAAGUGCAAUUCAUGUUAUGAAUUUGAAUAAAUAUAUAUAUUUGUA